CUAGGUGUGAAUAGUGUGCAGAAGGGCAUGAGACAAAGAAAUGUAUGUGGAGUCCAGACAGUGGUCCUAAACUGCUGAAGGAGAUGGGGAUGCAGGAGGGUGUUACUGACAGGCCAUGUCUACCCAGAGGAGUACAAGCAGCUGUUUGAACUGGUGGAGUGGUUCCAGGAGUUCAUUCAGAGCUGGUUGUAUGAGGAGAUACUGGAGAACACCCAGAAAGAGGGCUGGCUCUAGACACACAGCGGCACCACCAGGACUGGAGGGAUAGUGCAGCCGGGAACUGGGCUGAAAAAACAGAGGCUGCUUGAAGCUACAGAUUCUAGAGGAAUCUAAACCCCUGAGAUGUUGGACUAGUGAAUCACACCUCAUGUCAUGGUUUAGGAUUGUCCUGGGCGGAUGUUGAGAUGUGACACUUUUGGUAUUGGACCUUUUUUAAAAGGAGCUAUGUGUAGAGAUGCUUGUUUAAAAGCCACUAGGUGUCUAAAAGUUGGUCGGUGAAAGGCAGCAGAGACUACACCAUAUAGGCCAUUUUCUAAAGGGUUGAUGAUGGAUAGCAGCAGAAAGGUGACUUUAUUGGCAAAGCAAGGUUGUAACGAGACAAGAUGUGUUCGAACCGUUCGAUCACAUUUUGUCACACUGUGUUAUCCACAGGUUUUUACUGUAGGUUUUUUGCUAACGCAGCACAUGAAGUUAACUGGUUCAUAAUAAUGUGUGAUGAAUGGUACCUACUGCUUGUAUAAUUUAGUGUACAUAUGUAGCAUGUUUGCAUGUACGGACAGUUCAUUCAAUAACAUACACAGUUUGUGGGUAUUUGAGCCUCUUCUGAAUGCUAGGUACUCAAUGUCUGACAGGUUCAGUCACUCAUGAUCAGUAUCAUUCUGUGGUCACUGGUCGUCAUAUCUGCCUGUAGUGUUUCCGAUGGAUAAAGAUAGUGGAUAAUGGAUAAAGAUAGUAUUGUGUUGUUCUCGUGUGUGCUAAGGGCAUUUCAAUUGCCAUAUUGAAUUGUUUCAUUCCAUAAGCAUUGGAGGAAAUGUGAUUGUAUCAAAAUAAAUAUUUUGCCAAUGUUGACAAG
ensembl:lncRNA